GCAGCGCGGGGCAACCUGGCGGCGAGUGGCGAACGGGUGAGUAAUAUAUCGGAACGUGCCCUGGAGUGGGGGAUAACGCAGCGAAAGUUGCGCUAAUACCGCAUACGAUCUAAGGAUGAAAGCGGGGGAUUCGCAAGAACCUCGUGCUCCUGGAGCGGCCGAUAUCUGAUUAGCUAGUUGGUGGGGUAAAGGCCUACCAAGGCAUCGAUCAGUAGCUGGUCUGAGAGGACGACCAGCCACACUGGAACUGAGACACGGUCCAGACUCCUACGGGAGGCAGCAGUGGGGAAUUUUGGACAAUGGGCGAAAGCCUGAUCCAGCAAUGCCGCGUGAGUGAAGAAGGCCUUCGGGUUGUAAAGCUCUUUUGUCAGGGAAGAAACGGUGAAGGCUAAUAUCCUUUGCUAAUGACGGUACCUGAAGAAUAAGCACCGGCUAACUACGUGCCAGCAGCCGCGGUAAUACGUAGGGUGCAAGCGUUAAUCGGAAUUACUGGGCGUAAAGCGUGCGCAGGCGGUUUUGUAAGUCUGUCGUGAAAUCCCCGGGCUCAACCUGGGAAUUGCGAUGGAGACUGCAAGGCUAGAAUCUGGCAGAGGGGGGUAGAAUUCCACGUGUAGCAGUGAAAUGCGUAGAGAUGUGGAGGAACACCGAUGGCGAANGCAGCCCCCUGGGUCAAGAUUGACGCUCAUGCACGAAAGCGUGGGGAGCAAACAGGAUUAGAUACCCUGGUAGUCCACGCCCUAAACGAUGUCUACUAGUUGUCGGGUUUUAAUUAACUUGGUAACGCAGCUAACGCGUGAAGUAGACCGCCUGGGGAGUACGGUCGCAAGAUUAAAACUCAAAGGAAUUGACGGGGACCCGCACAAGCGGUGGAUGAUGUGGNUUAAUUCGAUGCAACGCGAAAAACCUUACCUACCCUUGACNUGUACGGAAGCCACGAGAGAUCGAGNUGUGCUCGAAAGANANCCGUAACACAGGUGCUGCAUGGNUGUCGUCAGCUCG
rnacentral:rRNA from 1 species